rnacentral:rRNA from 1 species
GACGAACGCUGGCGGCGUGCUAACUACAUGCAGUCGAACGCUUUUUGUUUUCACCCGGGAGCUUGCUCCAACCGAAAACAAAGAGUGGCCGGACGGGUGAGUAACACGUGGGUAACCUGCCCUCAAGCGGGGGAUAACACUUGUGAAACAGGUGCUAAUACCGCAUAAUAAUCAGAAUCGCAUGAUUUUGAUUUGAACAGGCGCUUUUGCGUCACUUGAGGAUGGACCCGCGGUGCAUUAGCUAGUUGGUGAGGUAACGGCUCACCAAGGCCACGAUGCAUAGCCGACCUGAGAGUGGUGAUCGGCCACACUGGGACUGAGACACGGCCCAGACUCCUACGGGAGGCAGCAGUAGGGAAUCUUCGGCAAUGGACGAAAGUCUGACCGAGCAACGCCGCGUGAGUGAAGAAGUGUUUUCGGAUCGUAAAACUCUGUUGUUAGAGAAGAACAAGGGUGAGAGUAGAAUGUUCACCCCUUGACGGUAUCUAAUCAGAAAGCCACGGCUAACUACGUGCCAGCAGCCGCGGUAAUACGUAGGUGGCAAGCGUUGUCCGGAUUUAUUGGGGCGUUAAGCGAG